UACAGAGGUCUCAAGCGUUGUUCGGAUUCAUUGGGCGUAAAGGGUGCGUAGGUGGCGCGGUAAGUCGGGUGUGAAAUCUCGGAGCUUAACUCCGAAAUUGCAUUCGAUACUGCCGUGCUCGAGGACUAGAGAGGAGACUGGAAUUCAUGGUGUAGCAGUGAAAUGCGUAGAGAUCAUGAGGAAGACCAGUGGCGAAGGCGGGUCUCUGGACAGUUCCUGACACUGAGGCACGAAGGCCAGGGGAGCAAACGGG
rnacentral:rRNA from 1 species